rnacentral:SRP_RNA from 1 species
GGACCGACCCUGCGCAACAGAAGGAUGCAAACCCCGCCAGGUCCGGAAGGAAGCAACGGUAAGCAUUUAAUUCUGUGUGCCGCAGUAAGUCGGUCCCUUU